AUUUUAAGAGGAGAUUUAUGGUGAGGAUCAGCACCGACUUUGACAUGAGUGACCCAGUUAUCCAGCAACAAAUCAUGAAGCAGAUGGAGGCGGACAUGAAAAACAAAGGCAUCAGUGAUGUCAAGAUUAAGUGGAAGAUGUCAGAAGGACAAGUCAAAAAUAAUUGAGUGUGUGCCGGUGAUGGAGGUGAAAUAGGAUUCCUGCGUUUCUGACUGGACUGUGUGUACUGGAGGAAAUGAACAGGGG